AUCCCUACGGGGGGCAGCAGGGAGGAAUAUUGGUCAAUGGCCGGAAGGCUGAACCAGCCAAGCCGCGUGAGGGGGGAAGGCGCAGAGCGUCGCAGACCUCUUUUGCCGGGGGACAAAAGGCCGGACGGGUCCGGUUCUAAGGGUACCCGGAGAAAAAGCAUCGGCUAACUCCGUGCCGGCAGCCGCGGUAAUACGGAGGAUGCGAGCGUUAUCCGGAUUCAUUGGGUUUAAAGGGUGCGCAGGCGGGCCUUUAAUCCGGCGGUGAAAUCGCGUGGCUCAACGCCGCCUCGCCGUC
rnacentral:rRNA from 1 species